UUGACCCAGCAACAGCCCCCAAACCCACCCGAUACUUAACUCCUAAAACCCCCAAAUUCUAUUAUUUUCUACCCUAAGUUCCCAACUCAAUCUCCCCCCCCCCAACCAAACCAAACCAAACCCUCAACAUGGCUGAAAAGGUUAAGAGUUGCAUUUCGCCAGGAGGUGGAGAUUUGUGAUUCUAGUUGGUGGUGUGGAAAAGCUCAUAUUCAAGUAAUUUUUAAACUGUAAAUUAUGAUAAUGCCUAAUAUUUUUGUUGGAUAAUGAUUUAUUGGAUUGGGUGAAUAUUGAUGAUUUUGUGUGUGGAUGAU